AUAAACGCUGGCGGCGUGCAUGAGACAUGCAAGUCGAACGGACGAUCGAGGCUUGCUUCGAUCGUUAGUGGCGGACGGCUGAGUAACGCGUAGGUGACCUGCCCCGAAGUGGGGAAUAACUGCCCGAAAGGGUGGCUAAUACCGCAUGUGGUGGUGUGUUCAAUCACACCAGUAAAGCCGCAAGGCGCUUCGGGAGGGCCUGCGUCCGAUUAGCUCGUUGGUGGGGAACGGCUCACCAAGGCGACGAUCGGUAGGUGGUCUGAGAGGACGAUCACCCAGACUGGGACUGAGACACGGCCCAGACUCCUACGGGGAGGCAGCAGGUCGGGAAUUUUGGACAAUGGGCGCAAGCCUGAUCCAGCCAUGCCGCGUGACGGGAAGAAGGCC
rnacentral:rRNA from 1 species